UAGAGUAACGCGUAGGUAACCUGCCUUGUAGCGGGGGAUAACUAUUGGAAACGAUAGCUAAUACCGCAUAACAAUGGAUGACCCAUGUCAUUUAUUUGAAAGGGGCAAAUGCUCCACUACAAGAUGGACCUGCGUUGUAUUAGCUAGUAGGUGAGGUAACGGCUCACCUAGGCGACGAUACAUAGCCGACCUGAGAGGGUGACCGGCCACAUUGGGACUGAGACACGGCCCAGACUCCUACGGGAGGCAGCAUG
rnacentral:rRNA from 1 species